rnacentral:rRNA from 1 species
GAUGAACGCUGGCGGCGUGCCUAAUACAUGCAAGUCGAGCGAACGGACGAGAAGCUUGCUUCUCUGAUGUUAGCGGCGGACGGGUGAGUAACACGUGGAUAACCUACCUAUAAGACUGGGAUAACUUCGGGAAACCGGAGCUAAUACCGGAUAAUAUUUUGAACCGCAUGGUUCAAAAGUGAAAGACGGUCUUGCUGUCACUUAUAGAUGGAUCCGCGCUGCAUUAGCUAGUUGGUAAGGUAACGGCUUACCAAGGCAACGAUGCAUAGCCGACCUGAGAGGGUGAUCGGCCACACUGGAACUGAGACACGGUCCAGACUCCUACGGGAGGCAGCAGUAGGGAAUCUUCCGCAAUGGGCGAAAGCCUGACGGAGCAACGCCGCGUGAGUGAUGAAGGUCUUCGGAUCGUAAAACUCUGUUAUUAGGGAAGAACAUAUGUGUAAGUAACUGUGCACAUCUUGACGGUACCUAAUCAGAAAGCCACGGCUAACUACGUGCCAGCAGCCGCGGUAAUACGUAGGUGGCAAGCGUUAUCCGGAAUUAUUGGGCGUAAAGCGCGCGUAGGCGGUUUUUUAAGUCUGAUGUGAAAGCCCACGGCUCAACCGUGGAGGGUCAUUGGAAACUGGAAAACUUGAGUGCAGAAGAGGAAAGUGGAAUUCCAUGUGUAGCGGUGAAAUGCGCAGAGAUAUGGAGGAACACCAGUGGCGAAGGCGACUUUCUGGUCUGUAACUGACGCUGAUGUACGAAAGCGUGGGGAUCAAACAGGAUUAGAUACCCUGGUAGUCCACGCCGUAAACGAUGAGUGCUAAGUGUUAGGGGGUUUCCGCCCCUUAGUGCUGCAGCUAACGCAUUAAGCACUCCGCCUGGGGAGUACGACCGCAAGGUUGAAACUCAAAGGAAUUGACGGGGACCCGCACAAGCGGUGGAGCAUGUGGUUUAAUUCGAAGCAACGCGAAGAACCUUACCAAAUCUUGACAUCCUUUGACAACUCUAGAGAUAGAGCCUUCCCCUUCGGGGGACAAAGUGACAGGUGGUGCAUGGUUGUCGUCAGCUCGUGUCGUGAGACGUUGGGUUAAGUCCCGCAACGAGCGCAACCCUUAAGCUUAGUUGCCAUCAUUAAGUUGGGCACUCUAAGUUGACUGCCGGUGACAAACCGGAGGAAGGUGGGGAUGACGUCAAAUCAUCAUGCCCCUUAUGAUUUGGGCUACACACGUGCUACAAUGGACAAUACAAAGGGCAGCGAAACCGCGAGGUCAAGCAAAUCCCAUAAAGUUGUUCUCAGUUCGGAUUGUAGUCUGCAACUCGACUACAUGAAGCUGGAAUCGCUAGUAAUCGUAGAUCAGCAUGCUACGGUGAAUACGUUCCCGGGUCU